ACUCAGGAAAAGAAUCUUAGUUCAACCUAAAGUUACCUUAAUACUUUUAAAUCUAACAUUAACUUUAGAGUCAAUCAAAUAAGUCAGAGCUUGUUUGAAACAGGAUACAGCCUCCACCCGUGGGUAAUUCAACCUCUAAAUAAUCUAGUUGGCCUAAAAGCAGCCACCUCUUAAAAAGCGUCAAAGCUUAAUUACGUAACAAUCAUUAAUCCCUUAAACCCCCAAAGAACCCCUUAUCAGUACUGAGUGAUCUCAUACCCUUAUGAGACCCUUUAUGUUAAAACUAGUAACAAGAUGACAACCCUCUCUUAUAUGUAAACAUAUGUCAGAACAGAUAACCUACUGACCCAUAACAACCAUAAAUUUUAGUUACACCACACUUAGAAAACCUUACUUAAUCAACUGUUAACCUUACACAAGAACAUAAAAAGAAAGAUUAUAAGAAAAAGAAGGAACUCGGCAAAUUUCGAUUCCGCCUGUUUACCAAAAACAUCGCCUCCUGCUAAACUAUAGGAGGUCCAGCCUGCCCAGUGACCCAGUUUAACGGCCGCGGUAUCCUGACCGUGCGAAGGUAGCGUAAUCAUUUGUUUUUUAAUUAAAGACCUGUAUCAAAGGCAUCACGAGAAUCGUACUGUCUCCUUUUUCCAAUCAGUGAACCUAAUCUCCUCGUGAAAAAGCGAGGAUAACCAUACAAGACGAGAAGACCCUUUGGAGCUUUAGAUAAAGUAAAAUUCUGCUUUUUUUCCUCUUUUUCCUAUAUUUAACCAGCAUUCAUUCUACAAAUCUUCGGUUGGGGCAACCACGGAGAAAAAAAUAACCUCCAAGAUGAACGGAACUUCCUAAACAAAAAGCCACACCUUUAUGUAUCAAUAAAUUGACAUUAUGACCCAAUAUUUUGAUUAUCGAACCAAGUUACCCUAGGGAUAACAGCGCAAUCUAUUUCGAGAGUCCAUAUCGACAAAUAGGCUUACGACCUCGAUGUUGGAUCAAGGUAUCCCAGUGGUGCAGCCGCUACUAAAGGUUCGUUUGUUCAACGAUUAAAACCUCACGUGAUCUGAGUUCAGACCGGAGUAAUCCAGGUCAGUUUCUAUCUGUAUAGAGCUAUUCCCAGUACGAAAGGACAGAAAUAGCACGGCCUAUAUAAAAUUCAAGCCGUAUUUACCACUUAUGAUAUCCACUUAAUAACCCCAAACCUGAAAAGGCCCCCCAAGAGCAGAGAA
rnacentral:rRNA from 1 species